CUUUUAGCUAUGAAGAAGAGCUUUAGAUUGGUUAAUCGGUAGAGAGUUUUCGGUUGGUGAAAGAAAAUGUUUGCCUUUUUAAAGUAUGGCUUUGGAGCUUAUUAUGCUGAUAUGUAAGUAUAAUCGUAUAUAGGCGUUAACUAUUUGAGUGUAUAAUACUAUUAUAAAAUAAGGUGGUACCGCGAUGAUUCGUCCUUAUA
rnacentral:ncRNA from 1 species